rnacentral:siRNA from 1 species
AACGAUUGUUACAAUGAAUGCGA